rnacentral:tRNA from 1 species
GGCCAGCUAGCUCAGUUGGCUAGAAUGUGGUGCUAAUAAUGCCAAAGUCAUGGGUUCAAGCUCUGUGCUGGCCA